rnacentral:rRNA from 1 species
CGAAGGUGGCAAGCGUUGUUCGGAUUCACUGGGCGUACAGGGAGCGUAGGCGGUUGGGUAAGCCCUCCGUGAAAUCUCCGGGCCUAACCCGGAAAGUGCAGAGGGGACUGCUCGGCUUGAGGACGGGAGAGGAGCGCGGAAUUCCCGGUGUAGCGGUGAAAUGCGUAGAGAUCGGGAGGAAGGCCGGUGGCGAAGGCGGCGCUCUGGAACGUUUCUGACGCUGAGGCUCGAAAGCGUGGGGAGCAAACAGGAUUGGAUACCCUGGUAGUCCACGCCUUAAACUAUGGAUACUAAGUGUCGGCGGGUUACCGCCGGUGCCGCAGCUAACGCAGUAAGUAUCCCGCCUGGGAAGUACGGCCGCAAGGUUG